GACGAACGCUGGCGGCGUGCUUAACACAUGCAAGUCGAGCGGUAAGGCCUCUUCGGGGGUACACGAGCGGCGAACGGGUGAGUAACACGUGGGUGACCUGCCCUCAGCUCUGGGAUAAGCCUGGGAAACUGGGUCUAAUACCGGAUAUGACCACAUGUUGCAUGGUGUGUGGUGGAAAGUUUUUUCGGCUGGGGAUGGGCCCGCGGCCUAUCAGCUUGUUGGUGGGGUGAUGGCCUACCAAGGCGACGACGGGUAGCCGGCCUGAGAGGGCGACCGGCCACACUGGGACUGAGACACGGCCCAGACUCCUACGGGAGGCAGCAGUGGGGAAUAUUGCGCAAUGGGCGGAAGCCUGACGCAGCGACGCCGCGUGGGGGAUGACGGCCUUCGGGUUGUAAACCUCUUUCGACCGGGACGAAGGGGAACUGACGGUACCGGUAGAAGAAGCACCGGCCAACUACGUGCCAGCCGCCGCCGUAAGAC
rnacentral:rRNA from 1 species